AUUGAACGCUGGCGGCAGGCCUAACACAUGCAAGUCGAGCGGAGCGGCGGACGGGUGAGUAAUGCCUAGGCAUCUGCCUGGUCGUGGGGGAUAACGACCGGAAACGGGCGCUAAUACCGCAUACUAUCAGAUGAGGCUAGGUAGGAUUAGCUAGUUGGUGGGGUAAAGGCAUACCAAGGCGACGAUCCGUACCUGGUCUGAGAGUAGGAUCAGUCACACUGGAACGUAGACACGGUCCAGACUCCUACGGGAGGCAGCAGUGGGGAAUAUUGGACAAUGGGCGAAAGCCUGAUCCAGCCAGGCCGCGUGUUUGAAGAAGGUCUUCGGAUUGUAAAGCACUUUAAGUUGGGAGGCGUUACCAACAGAAUAAGCACCGGCUAACUUCGUGCCAGCAGCCGCGGUAAUAC
rnacentral:rRNA from 1 species